rnacentral:rRNA from 1 species
AAUGUUCUUAGCGGACGACGGGAGAAUAACACAUGAUUUUCCUGCCUCUGACAGUGGGAUACCUUCUGGAUUCGGAUGGUAAUACCGAAUAACAUCAUGGAUUCGCAUGUUUCGGAGAGCAAAUAUUUAUCUCUUAUAGACCGACUCUCCUCUGAUUAUCUAGUUGGUAAGGUAUCCUCUUACCACAGCUAUAAUUAGUGGCCGGAGUGAGAGGUUGAUCCGCCUCUUUGGGACUGAGACACGGCCCAUACUCAUACGGGAGGCAGACGUGGGGAAUAUUGCUGUGUGGGGGAUUCCCUGAUGCGGUCAUGCCGCGUGAAGGAAGAAGGUUUUCGUGAUUGUAAACUCCUGUUGAAGAGGGCGAUAAUGACGGUACUCUUAUAGAAAGCUCCGGCUAACUACGUGCCCGCAGCCGCGGUAAUACGUAGGGAGCGAGCGUUGUCCGGAAUUACUGGGUGUAAAGGGAGCGUAGGCGGGAUCGCAAGUCAGAUGUGAAAACUAUGGGCUCAACCCAUAGGCUGCAUUAGAAACUGUUGUUCUUGAGCGAGGUAGAGGUAAGCGGAAUUCUUGGUGUAGCGGUGAAAUGCGUAGAGAUCAGGAGGAACAUCGGUGGCGAAGGCGGCUUACUGGGCCUCUACUGACGCUGAGGCUGGAAAGCGUGGGGAGCAACCAGGAUUA